CCCUGGAAACGGGGUCUAAUACCGGAUACGACCUGCCCCUGCAUGGGGGUGGGUGGAAAGCUCCGGCGGUGCAGGAUGAGCCCGCGGCCUAUCAGCUUGUUGGUGGGGUAAUGGCCUACCAAGGCGACGACGGGUAGCCGGCCUGAGAGGGCGACCGGCCACACUGGGACUGAGACACGGCCCAKACUCCUACGGGAGGCAGCAGUGGGGAAUAUUGCACAAUGGGCGAAAGCCUGAUGCAKCGACGCCGCGUGAGGGAUGACGGCCUUCKGGUUGUAAACCUCUUUCAKCAGGGAASAAGCGCAAGUGACGGUACCUGCASAAGAAGCACCGGCUAACUACGUGCCAGCAGCCGCGGUAAUACGUANGGUGCGAGCGUUGUCCGGAAUUAUUGGGCGUAAAGAGCUCGU
rnacentral:rRNA from 1 species